GACGUAGGGUGCGAGCGUUGUCCGGAAUUACUGGGCGUAAAGAGCUCGUAGGUGGUUUGUCGCGUUGUUCGUGAAAACCGGGGGCUUAACCCUCGGCGUGCGGGCGAUACGGGCAGACUUGAGUACUGCAGGGGAGACUGGAAUUCCUGGUGUAGCGGUGGAAUGCGCAGAUAUCAGGAGGAACACCGGUGGCGAAGGCGGGUCUCUGGGCAGUAACUGACGCUGAGGAGCGAAAGCGUGGGGAGCGAACAGG
rnacentral:rRNA from 1 species